AUCAGUGCUUAGGAAAUACUUUAUAGCCUGCAAAGUUAUUUAUUUUGUUGUUCAGUGGUUUCAGUCAGGUCCGACUCUUUGUAACUAUUUGGAGUUUUCCUUCAUUUUAAAAAUAUUUAUUUAUUUAAAAGUAUUUUUCCAUGGUUCCAUGAUUCAUUUUCUCUCCCUCCCUCUCCCCUCACCCCCUCCCAGAGCUGACAAGCAAUUCCAUUGGGUUAUACAUGUGUCAUCAGUCAAUACCUAUUUCCAUAUUAUUCAUUUGUAAUAAAGAAAUCUUUUAAAACCAAAAGAUUUGGGGUUUUCUUGCCAAAGACACCAUAUGGCUUGCCAUUUUUUCUCCAGCUCAUUUUACAGAUGAAGAAACUAGGCAAACAGGAUUAAGUCAGUAGCUCACAGUCACAUAGCUACCUUCCUUGAUCACACAGUUCGCAGUUCACCCUCUUGUUUGGUAGUAUUCUCUCCAUCAGGAUCAUAUAUUAGAGAGGAAAGGGGCCUGACAAACCAGAGGAGUCCUACCUAUCAUAUUUUACAGGUCAACCACCUUGAUAUCCAAGAGGAGACCAGAAAAGAGAAAAAGCAGAGAGCUUGGAGCUGGAGUUGAUAAGCCCAUCUGGGACUUCUUCAUUCCAGGCCAGUUGUAGUGUAUUGAAGGAACUUUCAAGAACUGACCACUAAGCCAGUGCUGAAAGGCUAUAUCACCCAAAAAGAGGCCUCCAUCUUCUGAGUCUAUAAAAGAGAGCAGGAGAAGCUAUCCUGGCCAUCAAAAGCUCUGUCUAAUUCUUCUUGCCUUAGCAUUUUCCUUACUCCCAUCUCACACACACACACACACACACAC